rnacentral:rRNA from 1 species
GACGAACGCUGGCGGCGUGCUUAACACAUGCAAGUCGAAUGGUGACGACUGGAGCUUGCUCCGGUCUGAUCAGUGGCGAACGGGUGAGUAACACGUGAGUAACCUGCCCCAGACUCUGGAAUAACCCCGGGAAACCGGAGCUAAUACCGGAUACGAGACGGAGAGGCAUCUCUACCGUCUGGAAAGUUUUUCGGUCUGGGAUGGACUCGCGGCCUAUCAGCUUGUUGGUGAGGUAACGGCUCACCAAGGCGACGACGGGUAGCCGGCCUGAGAGGGCGACCGGCCACACUGGGACUGAGACACGGCCCAGACUCCUACGGGAGGCAGCAGUGGGGAAUAUUGCACAAUGGGCGAAAGCCUGAUGCAGCGACGCCGCGUGAGGGAUGACGGCCUUCGGGUUGUAAACCUCUUUCAGCAGGGAAGAAGCGAAAGUGACGGUACCUGCAGAAGAAGCACCGGCUAACUACGAGCUAGCCGCCGCCGUAAUAC